GUGCUUGCUUUGGCAGCACAUAUACUAAAAUUGAAACUAUACAGAGAAGAUUAGCAUAGCCCUUGCACAAGGAUGACAUGCAAAUUUGUGAAGCAAAUUCAAUAGAU
ensembl:snRNA U6 U6 spliceosomal RNA